rnacentral:lncRNA from 1 species
GGCAAGGGAACAAGAAGGAGGAAGUAGGCAGAACUCCAUGCGAUGCUGGCUGCACCCAGAGACCAAGGGCCAUGACUGGCUGCUGCUAUGGAUCCAAGCUUGCUGAAGCUAUGAGGGGAGCAAUGAGAGACACUCUUGGGAUGUAAGGUUCUGCACCCCCCUCCACUGAAGGCUUCUUGGUGUAAAUAUGUGUUAAUAAGCCAUAUUUUUAAGACACUGCAGACUCUACUGUGCCUUGGUUUUCCAAUGGAAACACACACCCCAGGGAGCGCCCGGAACCCUCUGGAAACUUGUUACCACUCAGCAAAGAUUGAGAGUGGUGUUUAACAAUGCAUUCAAAUGCAGGGCCAGCUGUACCUUAGGGAGAGUGAAGCAGCUGCCUUAGGCGACAGAUGUUGAGAGGUAGGGGGCAGCAGGGAGGUUUUCGGAGCACAGAGCUGUGCAUACACCAUGAGGUCUGCCUUAAGUUAGCUUGCUGUUUUCAGGUGUAAUGGACAACACUGCCCUGUUGAAAGUGUUGAAGGAAGAUUCAUAUCUGCCAAUCUGGUACCAGGAAUGGGGAGACGCAGCAAAAUGCCUUGAACUAGCCCUGCUUGAAUGUUGUUCCUCUGUGUGGAAAAAGCUCUCUGCAAACAGAACUGUAGUUCAAAUUUAAAAAUUCUAAUACUUAUCUAGAACUAAUCUAAAUAGUAAACUAGAAUGUGUAUCUCCAAUGUGCUAGGGUUAUGUUCCUUCUGAGUUUUUGUUUUACAUGGAAAGCAUUCAAAAUUGGCAUUCCCCCACCUACAGACAAAAGCGGUACAAUCCUCUCUACCACUGCAGGAAUUGUCUGUUCCAUGUGUACAGCAGGCCUGAGUUUAAGCGAAAUGUACUCUUUAACCAUAAUAGUUAAGGACAUGUUAAAACAAAACACAAAACUGGUGUCAUUUGGGGUCAUAGUGGAUACCUUGAGGAAGAUAUUGACCUGUAUGUGGCAGCUAUGAAAAUGACAAAUGCUAUGCAAGGGAUCCUGAGGAAAGGAAAGGAAAAGAAAACUUCCAAUAUCAUAAUAUUUAUUAAAUAAAAAUAAAUAAUAAUGUCAUUAUACAAUUCUAUGGUGUGACUACACCUGGAAUACUGUGUGCAGUUCCGGUUGCCUCACCUCAAAAGGGUUAUUCCAGAGCUAGAAAAAGACAACUUAAAUGAUCAAGGGGUGGAGCAACCCCCCAAUGAGAAAAUGCUGCAAAAAUUGGGGCUUUUUAUUUUAGAGAAAAGCAUGUAAGAGGCAGCAUGAUGGAGGUGUAUAAAAAAAGCCAUGCAUGGUGUGGAGACAGUGGAGACAAAAAAGCUUUGCUGCCCUCGUAACACUAGAAUUCCUGAAUAUCCGAUGAAACUGAAUGUUGGAUGAUUCAGGAGAGAAAAAAGAAAUGACUUUGUGACACAGUGCAUAGUUAAACUAUGGAAUCAUCUUUUUCUGCGCCCAGUCUCUGGCCUAUUUUACUCAGGACUGAUUCAUGCAGCUGAAAGCAUAUUACUGAUACAGCAUGUUCAACAUUCAUCUUUAAGUGAAGUCUAUCUUAUGCUCUGAAAGUUCUAUAUAGUUAUUCUGAUCCUCUGAAUAUACACUCCAUUUCCCCUGGCAAUUCUGUCCAAAUACCAUUGCCUUGUGUUUCUGCAAUCUGCUUUUUGAAGACCUCAUUGUGGAUUAUAUUUCUUGCUAUGUGGCUUUUCUUUCUACUGCCUGCUGUGCAGCUUACCUGGAUCCCCCAGUUUCCAGCCUAGUGAAACCACAGUAGGUGCCUUCAAUCACAUUAAGGGUAUAAUCCAUAGUAAUUCGACCCGUUGUUUGUUGACCAAUAGGAUAUGGCUUGCAAGCUAUAUCCUACUGAGCGGAAAGAUUUAUAUUGUAUUGGAUAUAAAUGCUUCAGUUUAACUGGGCUUUGGAUUUGUCUGUGUAUGAAGUAUUUAUAAAUAUUGACUUUUUUAAUAGCAAAUUCAUUUGAGUAGGACUCAAACCAAGUGAUACAAAAUGCCCAUUUACACAUGCCUGAAAACACAUAUGAUGCAUCUGUAGGCAGUUAAUUGCACUAUUGCAGUGAUUAUUCCAUUGGCAGGAGCAUUUAGAACCAUUUCCAUCAACACCGGACAAGACUUUCUUACACAAACUAGUCCUAAAUUGCAUGCAGAGGAUUUGAAUUUUUAUUCAAUUCAGCAUCCAUGCCUCAAUUCAGAGUUCUCUUUAUACUCUUGAGUGUACAUCUGUGUGCGUGCAUGCAGUCGGUCCUCAUUUGUUUGAAUUGAGAUUGAAAAUACAUGCGCAUAACUGAACAUAUAUGUAGAUGAGCCAUCCAAUAAAAUGAACAAAAGGCAUAGAGAAGCUGUUAAGAAUUUCAGCAUUGCUCCAUCAUUCAAGCUUCACCUUUAUUGAUUUAUUUAAAUGCUUUCAAAUGGCUGGUUCUUGAAAAAAAGAUGCAUUUAUUCUUUUAUGAGUUUGGGGUCACUAGGAAUUAUAACAAAAAGGGCAAUUGGCAAGCCUACUGUUAUCCAUUACUUCCUACGGCAGGAAUAUACAAACUUAAGAAUCGUUCCGUUGUAUCAGGCCAGUGGACUAUCUAGUCCCACUUUCUGUUCUUACUGUGUCCCUCGACUCCUCACCACAAUCAGUUGGAAAGCUGCUCUGCCCUCAACACUUGAUCUUAGCCAAAAGGUGGGGAACAAAUAUCACAACUGGAGAGAGAUCUGUUGGAAUGGAAUGUAAAAGUGCUGUCUAAAAUGUAUACGAUAUUAUUGGAACGGGAGAGAAAGGAUGAGCAAGUAAUGAUACAUUGGACAAUAGAUAUUGGUCAUAAUAUAGCUAUGGAAGUAUGGGAACGAUUGUGGAAUAUGGAUAUAAAAUUUACAGCAUGUUAUGGUCUAAGAAAAAAUAAUAUGGAAUUGUUAUAUUAUUGGUACCUAACAUCUAAUAAUUGGCGAAAAUGUAUGAAUGAAAAUCAAAUAAGUGUUGGAAAUGUAAAGAGAAAGAAGGUUAUUUUUAUCAUAUGUGGUGGUCUUGUAGUAAGUUUAAAGAUUACUGGGAAAUGGUAUAUAAUGAAUUGAAAAAAGAUGUUUAAAAUAACUUUUAUUAAAAAAAAAACCUGGAUGCUUUCCUUUUGGGAAUUAUAGGGACAGAACUACCCAAACUAUAUAGAAAUUUAUUCAUGUAUGCGACUACAGUGGCAAGAAUGUUACUCACCCCAAAAUGGAAAAAAGAAGUCCCAGCGAAAGAAGAAUGGAUACAAAAACUUGUGGAAUAUUCAGAAAUGGCGAAACUUACAGGAAAAAUAAGAAAUCAAGAUAACAAACUUUUUAUAAAAGAAUGGAACUGCUUUAUUGAAUAUUUAUAAAUAAACUGUAAACAGAUCAGAACAUUGGCAAGAUGGUUGUAAUAACCUGUGGUUUUAUAAGAGUAUAUAUUUAAAGUAGAUGAAUAAAGGAGCAAAUUAAGUUAAUUUGGAAUAUGCAGAAAAUGUAAAAAAUAAAUUUAAGGAACUGUAGAAAGAGAGGGAAGGAAAUUGAGUUUUGAAAUAUUAAAAUGAUUGUAAAAUUGUUGAAAUGUAUAAAACUGAAAAUCAUAAAAUUAUAAGAAAAAAGGAAAAAAAAGAAAAGCUGCUCUGCCCCUUUUUUGAUUUUAAGUGCCAACUGUCUGGUUCCAUCUUGGAUUAAUUGGAGCCUGUCCCUUUUGUACAGGCUUGGCUUGUCCCAAAAUGUUCCACAGUGCCCAACAAUUUCAAACCUCUCCUUCCGACACCAUCUUCUCAUCUAUGCAUUAAGACGACAAAGCCAUGGAUGUCUAGCUGACCCUGUGUGUUGAACCACUAGCAUUUCAGAAUGCCGGAGGUCCUGGUUUUCAACAUCCUUCAACAGCAUAGAAGAUUUCUGAUUUGGAAAAUGCAGGGAAAAUUCUUCUGCUCGUCUUCAGUCUUACACCCUCUGCAUGAGUGUACUGAAGGGGCACAAAGGGCACAUUGUAGCAUGAGUUCGGUGGAUAGCUGGGAAUGACCAACAAGCACCUGGGAGAUUCAGGGAGUGAUCAGGACUAAGAGGAAGGCACAAAAAACCAUGAGCUAGGAGGAAGCAAAUUAUCAAACUUGCAGGUGAUCAACUGAGGACAAAGCAGAUUAGGAAGGAAAUCACUGUGAGAAUAAGUAGCAAUUCAGGAGCUGGAAAAUGCAUGUAUUGUAGCUAACCCUGCCUGGUUACCCAAAAUAACUUUGCAAGCAACAAGAUACAGUAGCAUCACCUAGCUAUUUCCCCUGAAAUAUGAGACCAUCAAUUUUUCAUUUACUUAUUUUACAUAUUUAUAAACUGCUGAACAGCCCAAGAUCAUCAAAGCAGUGUACAACAUGAUAAAAAUGCACUGAAAAAUGUUAAGACCAUUCCUAUAAACUUUAUAAACAAUAAAACUAUUCAUCAGAUGUACAAUUAAUAUUUUGUAAAUAUACUUCAACGAUCUCUUAAACAAAAAUGUAUUUGGCAAGUGCAUAAGCAUCAUGACGCAGGGAGGGUGUCGAGUUUUGGCUAGUAGUUGAUUCCAGAGGACUGGAGCUGCAACGCUAAAAGCACACCUCUGGGGCAUGUGACUGUCUCAGCAGCGGCCCAUUUAAGGACACCCUUGCUGUGAAGAGAUAUAUGGGGUAAGGCAGUCCAUUAUGUAAGCCAUAGAUCCUAUCUCUGGAAGACACAUUUUGGGUGGCAGGGGGCCUGUGUUAGGUAAAUAGGUAAAGGGACCCCUGACCAUUAGCUCCAGUCAUGGCCGACUCUGGGGUUGCGGCACUCAUCUCGCUUUAUUGGCUGAGGGAGCCGGUGUACAGCUUCCGGGUCAUGUGGCCAGCAUGAACCACAGCAGUGCACGGAAAUGCCAUUUACCUUCCCACCGGAGCGGUACCUAUUUAUUUACUUGCACUUUGACAUGCUUUCAAACUGCUUGGUUGGCAGGAGCUGGGACCGAACAACAAGAGCUCACCCCGUCACAGGGAUUCGAACUGCUGACCUUCUGAUCGGCAAGUCCUAGGCUCUGUGGUUUAACCCCCAGCACCACCCGCAUCCCCUGUUAGGUAAAUACCCAGGUAUAAAUAGUUUACAAAGAUAUAUAUGACAUUUGCUCUUCUGGAGUUUGAAGACAUAGCACAUUCAUCUAUAAGAACCACCACACAGACACCCCUCUCUUUUUUGUCCCAGGCCUUCUUCCAAGUAGGCAACCAGCAAUUGAUGACAGUGUUACAUUCAUCAACUUUGGAAAAAGAAAGAGACUUGCCUGCUUAUCUUUUUGUUUUGACAGCAUGAGAAUGGAAAUCUCACAAGAACAGAUCUUGUGAUAUUUCAGAGUUUCUCUGCAGCUGAUUGUGCCCAAGAACAAAUGGUGCUUUAGCAUUUACAUAUCUUCACCUUCUGAGAACUAUAAAUAGCACAGAAAUGUUAAAAACACAAUAAGAUGGAGAAAAAGAUGGAUUGAGUGAAAUGCACCAUGUUGGAACUUUCAAAUCACUUUUUGAAGCAAUUAUCUGUUAUUUUCUCCCAAGGUUUUCAUGGAAGAGAGUUAAGAGCAGAAAAGAGAGACUAUUUGUUUCAUUUACGGCUAAGUGUAUUGUACAAGGAAGCCACUUAAGAAACAAGAAGUAAACCACUGUUUGAUUGAAGAGGGCGUCUUACAAUCAAGAUGGAUUACCCAGUCCACCAAUACCUGUGCAUUCGGAGCUUUGACCUAGAGCUGCGAAAUGUAUCUAGGCCAUGAUAUUAAGCUUUUUGCUUAUGAAGUAUAUAGUUGCAGUGUGUAUUUUUAGUUUUGCUGAGGUCAGUAAUAAGGGAUGCCAAGCCUUUUCAAAACUAUGAAGAACAAAAAGGGAGAAGCCAACAUUUGGGGUUAUAGGAAAUCAAGUAAAAGUUGUUUUUAAAGAGGCAUGAUUCUAUUGGAGAUCACUGUGUCUGAAAGAAAGGAGGUUGUCAAAUUAAAGAGAUAAGGAUCAUUUAACAUGUAUUAGAUUGACAUGCCAUAAUGUCAUAAUUCGUCCAGCCUUACAUAGGUGUGUGUGUUUUUUUUAAAUGAUAUUUAUUAGAGUUUCCAAUAAAAAGAACACAUCAGUAAAAAAAAAAUUAAAAGAAAAGAAAAAAAUACACAGUUCAAAAAUACACAAUACAUAAUCCAAAAACAAAAAACAAAAAAGAAAAGACAAAAAAGAAAACAGUUAAAAACAAUACCACCUUUUCAUCACCAUUUUUAAAUUUACUUAUUUUCUGGACCUCCUCAUACCUCCCUCUUUUGUAUUCCAGUUCAAUUUUGUUUGUCCAGCAAUUUCUUUCCCUCUUUUUUAAUCCCAAUCCUUAAUCUUAAUAUAGUAUAACAUUACAUAGGUGUGUUUAAAGAAUGUUUAGUGGUGUUCACACUGGACCUAAGAUUCACCUUGCAGCUGUUGAUGUUUUAAAAAAUCGACUCCAUUUCUGAGUUGCUCUCUGCUUUGAUCUGUGUUUCAGGUUCUGAGUAGUUCUGUGUAAAAUGAAGCCCUAUGUUCCCCAUCCAUUUUAAUGGGGAAUGUACAGUGUAAUGGGGAAUGUACAUUUGUACAAUUUGUAGAUGUACAAAUGACUACAACUUUUGCACCUUUUGGGCAAAGUGGAUGAAAGUUACAGGCACAGGAGGUCUUCCAGAGUGGAUUAAAUCUAUCAAAUUGCACACAAAUAGGUUCAGGACCUUUUUGUGGUGCAAGUAAUAGGAAGCCACUUUCCUCUUUCAUAUUUUUGAGGUGGGGAAGCAGAAAUCUGUCUGUGCUCUAUUUUUUACCUUAAAUUAAUUAAAAGGUGGCUGGGUAGCAUGCAUUCUUGCUUGCACUUUUCUAAAAACCUGGGAGCACCACACCAGCCUUUUACAACAUAUAGCUAUCUUGAACACUGCCUGUGGAGUUCUGAGAAGCUCUGGAUUUGUUUUCUGAUUUUGUUUAUUUUUCAAACAGAGCAAUAAAGGGAAAAUUAUAUAAAUGUUUUAACUUUUACAAAAGCCCAUCAGAUGCUAACCAACCAUACGCUGGGCUCAUUCACAACACAGAGCGCCUUUUUAGUAAGCAAUAAAUAAGAUAAUUUCUUGCCAGUCCAAAAGACUGCCCAUUUACAAUCAUAGAUUACAAAAAAGGUUGAUACUUAAACAAAAGUGUUUUCUCCAAAUGGUCAUCUUUCCACAUGUGUAGGCCAAAGCAAGAAGGUUAUAAGUGAAAAAAGGAUAAAAUAUGAAACAGAUUUUGCUUUAUGGCUGACUGGUAAGUUAAACUUCAUUUCCAGGCUCAUAGUUCCAAACUGUAAAUUUUCAUGAUUAUCAGUCAGUCCAGCUAAUAAAACAUAACACUUCGGUAAUACAUGGGCUGGUAAAGACAAUAAUGUCAACAAUGCUGGAGACAAAUUGAAUGAUGCUGAGAAUCAUUGAUUAUAAGCAGCUCUAUUAAAGGGUGCUUUGUACUAUAACAAAUACUAAGAAAACAGAAUACAGAUAACACACUCUCUUGAUUGUUAACCAGAAAAUUACCAGAAGCACGUCUUGUUGCCCUUGAUCAAGUUUCAUUCAUAUCCUCAGCCUGGGUCCAAGAUAUUUGAGAAAACAUCUUCUGUCAUAUGACAUGUCAUCCUACUUGAGAGAGCUGAGAUGAAGAAGUGAGACUCUCUUGCAGAUUCAUCCACUAUACAAGAUACUCUACUAAGAAUAGGAGUAUUAUAACAGUGGGUCUCCUGUAUCUUCCUUCCUGAGAGAGUCCUAGCAGGGCCCCACAACUCUGGGGCUUUACAAAUCCAGAGUGUGGCACAUGAAGUGAGCAGCAGAAAACAGGGUUUGCCUUCCUUCAUGCCUGCCUGCCUGCCUUCUCUUUUUAAAAUAUAUAUUAUCCACUUGUAUGACAUAAUGGUGCUUAUUCCCAAGGUAUAUUUGAUUAUUAGCAUCAUGGCAGCAAAAGCAAACCUAAUUUUAUUCCAUGAAAGUGGUAUGAUUUAAGUGAUUUUAAAUGUGAAACUGCACCCACUUUAAGUAUAUAUUUUCUUAUCAGGACUGGCAAACCUGUUUUAUUUAUUUGUUGUGCUCUAAGAUAUCAGGAAUGUAGAAUCAGUUGUAAAUCAUGGAAUGGUGGAGGGAGGAGGGAGAGAAAUGUUAAUUCUGUGCCUCACAUGGUCAUCUUGCUCUAGCUACCCAACUGCUUGCAACAGAGCAGCAAAUAUAUUUCCUUUGCCCCCAUGGUUUUUAAUUACAAAUUGCUGAAUUAUCAUUUGAUGUUCUCUUCCGCUUCUAAUGAUCUGAGUUUAGUGAAGUUUUAAUAUUGGUUUUAUGUGUUGUUUUUAUUAAAUACAUUUAUUUGUCACUUUUUGCACAAAAGCAUCUCAAAGCAACUUACGAAGUGUAAGAAACUUUGGGGGACCUGAAGAUUAAGGCUACAAUCCUGUACCCACUUUCCUGAGAUUAGUAUAUAAUUAAGUAAUUAAGUAAAAUAUCAAUAAGAUUCAUACAGAAGAUAUCCAUGUAAUAGGUUGUGCUCAGUGGGUACACUCUAGCCCCCAGAUUAAGCAAUUUAAAAUCCAAUUAUUACAAUAGAAGAGCUUGAUGUUUUCCUAUCAAAAUAUACAUAUAAGAAAUCAUAACAGCAUAAGCCAAGCCCUGUUGAAUCUGACCAAAGGCCCAUCCCAUCUCCUUGCCUCUUAUCUCACAGUGCCCAAACAGAUUCUCUUUGGAAAUUCAGAUGCAAGACCUGAAUGCUGCAACACACCCCUCAAGAAACUGGUGUUCAGAAGCAUACUGCCUCCAGAAGUGGAAAUAGAAAAACCAACCAUGCCUAGUAGCUACUGAAGCCUUAUCCUCUGUGAAUUUAAAGCCACCUGAUCUGGUGGCCAUCACUACAUUUUGUGGGAGCCAAUUCCAUUUGAUACCCAAUAUUUUCAUAUAGGAAUUUUUUUAGACUCCCCAAGAAAAGUUGAGAUGGAGCAUAACUGAGUUCAAUCUUGCAGUGAUUAGCAAGGGACAUGCACGUUUUUCACAGUAGUGGAAAACCAAACUGAUAUCAGUAGGCAGACUACAGACAAUGUUAGCAACUCUGCAUGGAGUUAUGCUUUUGUAGAAAUACCUGAGAAGGAUGCUACAAGUGUGAUAUAUAGCUUCUCAGGAUUCUGACCAAAUGGAUACAAAGGAUAGGAGUGAAUUGGCUUUCUCUCAGCUUAAUCAUCUACACAGGGAGAAAAGAAAAAAGGUUUAAGCUGCAGUAUGAAUUUGAUGGGAUCAAUUAAAAUGUUUAAAGUGAAGAAAUACUAUAGAAGUGCAGAGUGUACAACUAAUGAUAGUUACUAUUUCACAGUGAUCUUGUUCUGCCCAUUCCUAACUGAAAACCAGGAAUUGUGAUCGUCUUAUGGUGAGAAACAUUCCUGUCCCACGGACUUCAAGC